AUCGCCAUGGCGACUGGUCCAAGCUGUUGGAGGCAGCGUUUCUGAGCGGGAGCGGCCGCUGCUGUUCGCUGCCCGAGCCCCGGUGCCUGAAUGGGAGCGACAGCUCGAGACAACAAGAUUCUGGCUGGUUAUAGGAGGCUCAGUAGUCUUUGUCCUGUUAGAACAACCAGCUAUCUGACCAUGACAUUUCCGUUUGAUGAAGACAUUCAAGAUGUUCAGGAUCAACCAUACACUGGAAGAUGGAGGAAAAUCUUUCACUAACAAGUGAGCAUAAUAACAUCAACAUUAACUGCUUUUGCUUGUUUGUUUUAUUCUCCUUUUAAACAGCACUUUGAAUUACUCUGUUGCUGAAAAUGUGCUACACAAAUAAACUGCCUUGGCUUCCCUUUUGUCUUAUUAUAAAUCCAAAAAGCCUGGUUUGCACUCAUUAAAAAAAACAUUUUUGUCUGAUUUAUAAAUAGUGAAGGAACUUAUUUGGAUCAGACCUUUAUAAUGCAGCAUAGGAAGCACAUAAAUACUGCAUAAGUCAUGCUAAAAAAUGAGAACCAGUCACACAUUUUCUUCUAUAACAAGCCUAAGGGUUCUCUGUUCUGCAAAUGAUCUGCUUUCUGGUAAGCAUCAGUACAUUUUUGUGUGGUUUUAUUUAACCAGCUGUAGAAAUAAAUAUAUUCUAAUUUCAACUAAAUGUACAUAUGUAAGAAGCUGAAGUCACAUUACAGCUGAAAACAUCUGAACCCAAAUGGAGGUGACUGUGUCACCAUUUGGUCUCAAUGAAGAAGGAAAAGAUAAGUAGUUAAAAAAUCUAAACUUGACUUUUUCACAAUUAAAUUUAUAUAUACAAAAUAAUAUGCACAGAAGACAUUUUUGUCAAGCUUUAUGUAUACAAUCACAUGUUAUUACUUAGAUUUAAUCCACUACAGCCCCAUGAAGAGGUCUAAAGCAGAAUUAAGUUAGAAAAAAUCAUUAAUCAAUAUGUUGCAAAGACUUUAAUGAAAAACUUAGUCCAUAUCAAGUAACAAAAUUAUCAUCUAGUCUGCCUGACUAAUAAAGACAGAUAUGCAAGGCAAGUUUUCAUCAGAUAUUUGUUGUCUCCCUUCUCUCUGGCUCCAGAUAGCAUUGCUUUACCACAAGAUGGCAUUGUUGUCAUAAUUAUGCUUAAUUUGUCAUGAUCAUUGUAAAUGAUUGAGAAGUAAUCCAAACAAGAUUGCCAUUCUCAAAUGCAUUUAUUUAUUCAUCAUAUGUCAAAAAAGAAAAACAAAAUACUCAGAGUACCAACACCUUAAAAAUAAAGACAAGGUUUCAGAUUGAAAAAACUGAAACAAACAGUAGCCCUUUUAAUUCUGAAACACACACACACACAAACUGAUGGGAACUCAUGCUACACACAGUUGCUUUCUCAUUACUCUGCUACAUAUUUCUCUCAGUUUUUUGUACUACUACAAAAAAUGCAACCAUCUGGCCCCACUGAAGGAUUAGCACUACAUUUGGAGGAAAUCAUGAGCUUGUGCUCUCACAUGCCUUUGAAAAAUGAUAACAUUCAUACACUCAGCUGCUCACUGUGGAGCCAGGAAACCAUGUAGUACAAAAAAAUAAUUAAACACAAGAUCACAUUUUCACAUCAGUGCAAUUAAACCCUGACCUGUUGGAUUUUACCAACAAUAGCAUGCAAGAUGAUCCCUCUGGAGCUUUUCUUAUAUACAAAUUGGUCGGAUGUGUUCUCAAAGUACCUACCUUGAUCUAGUCAAAAGAAAUAAGAGUUGCUCACAACAUUGCCUUUUUGACGCUAUUCCAAUAGUGAUGUUAAAGCUUUAGUAAUGAUCCAUUUGCAUCCUGGAUGGUACAUGUAGAAGCCACUGAGCUGUGUUUAUGCACUUUUAUAGGAUGGAAGAGUGCAUUGCACACGGAUUACAGCGACUGCAAGAGGCAUUUUCAAUAUGAUAUAUUGGUGUGUAGUCGGUUGAGGGCAUCGCUGCAGGGGUUUAUUGCUCCAUUCAUAUCCAAAGCAUCAGCAUCUGUUUCCCUAUCUUGCUGUGUUUGUCCUUUACCUGCCUGAAAGUCAGUUAUCAAACCGCCUCCCUUUGCCUUGGCUUGCCCUCUCCUUCACACAUAGAUACCUGCAUACACUUAACACCUACCAUCAUGGGGAUGCCAACGUCCACUGAGGUCCAGAAUUUUGGUCCCCACAAAUCUGUCAGGGCCCACAAUUAAAGUACAUUAAGCACACACACAUACACAAUGCUAGCACAAGUUCUUAUUUUAUGCUCCUGCAUGUCCCUAUGUCCCUAGUUUCAACAUACUCUGCAGAAACAGAGUCUGAGUGAGGGCAGACAGUAGUGUAAAGCCGCACAGUUUGUCAUAAUAAGGGACUGCAGUAUUUUCAGCUGCAAGACAACCUUAAAACACCCUUGGUGGGGACGAACAACCUUUACCCUAAUCUGUAGCAGAGUCAGGGAAAGAAUGUCUAUUGCAGGCUAAUUCAUCAGACCUAAAAUAAAAUACCAUCUAAUCAUAUCUAUGUACAUUUUAAGAAAACCUUUCUAGAAGAUUUAAUUUACUGCAGCAAUUCAAUUAAAGCAGUGGAAUUUGUACAUUACAUAGAUUCACUACAUUCCGUAUGAUAUAUUUCAAGCAUUUAGUUUGGUCAAUUUGGAUGAUUAUAGUUUACAUCAAAUAGAAAUCGAAACUUUUGCUUCUCAAAAAAUGAGUUAAACUAAACAGCAAUAAAAAUGUAUUUUCUAAUACAGAAAUGUUUUGGUGUGGUCAUGAUUGUUGUUCAACAAACAGUAACUGGAAAGUAAGUCGUAAAGGUUGGCUGUUCGUAGAACGCUGCACCCAAGCAUUUAAUGGAAAGUUGAGUGUAAAGAAAAAGCGUGUCUGAGAACGGUGCACAAGCCAAAGAAAUAUCUUUCAGCUGUUGAGAAUAAGUAAUUCUGUGUUUUUCUUUUGUCUCUUUUAACUAGCUGCAAAGCUAAGGCUAAAGGAGUUAGGAAACGCCUUCAAAGUUAAGGGAAGAGGAUAUGACACACUAGGGAACGCCCUCUUUAGGGCGUAGCUUAGACGGAGGCUAACAAAGGAAGUUACCAACUGUUACUUGUUGCCAUUAUGUCCUGCUAAUUCCUAAAGGUAGCAUGAAAAAUGGACCAGCUAUAUUUUGGUAUUAAUAAAUGGAAUUCAUGA